rnacentral:rRNA from 1 species
GACGAACGCUGGCGGCGUGCUUAACACAUGCAAGUCGAACGGAAAGGCCCUGCUUUUGUGGGGUGCUCGAGUGGCGAACGGGUGAGUAACACGUGAGUAACCUGCCCUUGACUUUGGGAUAACUUCAGGAAACUGGGGCUAAUACCGGAUAGGAGCUCCUGCUGCAUGGUGGGGGUUGGAAAGUUUCGGCGGUUGGGGAUGGACUCGCGGCUUAUCAGCUUGUUGGUGGGGUAGUGGCUUACCAAGGCUUUGACGGGUAGCCGGCCUGAGAGGGUGACCGGCCACAUUGGGACUGAGAUACGGCUCAGACUCCUACGGGAGGCAGCAGUGGGGAAGAUUGCACAAUGGGCGGAAGCCUGAUGCAGCAACGCCGCGUGCGGGAUGACGGCCUUCGGGUUGUAAACCGCUUUCGCCUGUGACGAAGCGUGAGUGACGGUAAUGGGUAAAGAAGCACCGGCUAACUACGUG